rnacentral:rRNA from 1 species
AGCAGCCGCGGUAAUUCCAGCUCCAAUAGCGUAUAUUAAAGUUGUUGCAGUUAAAAAGCUCGUAGUUGAAUUUCGGGGUUAGUAGGUUGGUCGUGCCACUGGUACGUACUGGUCUCACUGAUUCCUCCUUCCUGAUGAACUGUAAUGCCAUUAAUUUGGUGUUGCAGGGAAACUGGACUGUUACUUUGAAAAAAUUUAGAGUGUUUAAAGCAAGCUAACGCUUGAAUACAUUAGCAUGGAAUAAUGAAAUAGGACGUUCGAUCCUAUUUUGUUGGUUUCUAGGAUUGACGUAAUGAUUAAUAGGGAUAGUUGGGGGCAUUAGUAUUCAAUUGUCAGAGGUGAAAUUCUUGGAUUUAUUGAAGACUAACUACUGCGAAAGCAUUUGCCAAGGAUGUUUUCAUUAAUCAAGAACGAAAGUUAGGGGAUCGAAGACGAUCAGAUACCGUCGUAGUCUUAACCAUAAACUAUGCCGACUAGGAAUCAGACGAUGUUAAUUUUUUUAAUGACUCGUUUGGCACCU